CUAGCAGCAAAAUUUUGCCUUGGGUAUUGGGGAAGCUGCCUAACAUAUCUUCGAGCAUUGUCACUUCGUAGGAAACCAAGGCUGAAGUCAUCUGGCGAACCAAUAAGCUCUGUAAUAAGCCUCAGCUGAUGAACAUAGUCUCUACCAGGAAACAGGGGUUGUCUAGUCAUGAUUUCACCAAGUAUACAACCCACAGACCAUAUAUCAAUUGCUGCAGUGUACUCAGAACAAUUAAGGAGUAGUUCUGGUGCCCGAUACCAACGUGUAACAACAUAUUCAGUCAUAAAAUCUGUUUCAGAUGUUGU
rnacentral:misc_RNA from 1 species